rnacentral:snRNA from 1 species
GGCGAUGUCAACAGUGCGGGUAAGACUGGGGCAAAACCUCAAAGUGCUGCGGAAAAAAUGAUGGCAAAAAUGGGAUGGAGUAAAGGUAAAGGCUUGGGAAAGAGCGAGCAAGGUAUGGCGACGCCGUUGGAGGUGAAGAAGGAUGGCG